AGACAGCGCCCGCGGAGCUCGCUCCCGGGGCUACCCUACUCCCGUAGGGUUUAGAGUCGUCGGGCCUCUCGGAGAAGCUCGGUCCUGAACUCCACCCUUGAAUAAACUACCUUUGUUGCUUUGGCGGGCCGCCUCGUGCCAGCGGCUUCGGCUGUUGAGUGCCCGCCAGAGGACCCCAACUCUUGUUUUUAGUGAUGUCUGAGUACUAUAUAAUAGUUAAAACUUUCAACAACGGAUCUCUUGGUUCUGGCAUCGAUGAAGAACGCAGCGAAAUGCGAUAAGUAAUGUGAAUUGCAGAAUUCAGUGAAUCAUCGAAUCUUUGAACGCACAUUGCGCCCUCUGGUAUUCCGGGGGGCAUGCCUGUUCGAGCGUCAUUAUAACCACUCAAGCUCUCGCUUGGUAUUGGGGUUCGCGGUUUCGCGGCCCCUAAAAUCAGUGGCGGUGCCUGUCGGCUCUACGCGUAGUAAUACUCCUCGCGAUUGAGUCCGGUAGGUCUACUUGCCAGCAACCCCUAAUUUUUUUAAGGUUGACCUCGGAUCAGGUAGGGAUACCCGCUGAACUUAAGCAUAUCAAUAAGG
rnacentral:rRNA from 1 species